UAUAUUGGUCCUAACAAUAUUCCUCAUUUAUUCAACAUACUCGUGAAGUUCAGAUCCCAUGCAGUUGGAUUGGUUGCAGAUAUAGAAAAGGCAUUCUUAAUGGUGGGCAUAGAUCAUGUGGACCGAGACAUGCUACGUUUUCUUUGGGUUAAGAACAUUCAGGAACCGAUUCCAGAAAUCAUCGAGUUUCGAUUUACCAGAUUAGUCUUUGGAUUAAGACCAUCGCCUGCUAUGUUGGGAGCUACGAUUAAUCAUCACUUGAAUUUAUAUGAAGACGAGAAUCCUGAUGCAGUCAAAGUAUGAAAGAAUGGCCUGUAUGUCGAUGAUUUAGUUUCUGGGGCUCCGAGUGAUGACGAAGCAUUAGAUAUUUACAAGGGCACCAAAGGCAUCAUGCUAGCUGGUGGUUUCAAUUUACGUAAGUGGGCUUCCAAUUCGAAUACUGUUGUUGAAACUAUAACCCAGGCAGAGAGUAAUAUCGAUUCAGACAACAAACCCUCGUCCCCAGCCAUGAUCGAGGAACCCUCGUCCCCAGCCAUAGUACCCUCGUCCCCAGCCCUGAUCGAAGUACCCUCGUCCCAAGUCGUGAUCGAAGUACCCUCGUCCCCAGCCAUGAUCGAAGUACCCUCGUCCCCAACCGUGAUUAAAGAACCCUCGUCCCCA